UCCCGGAGCAAACCCCUAACUUUUCAUGGCCAAGACCAAUGGAGAGCCUUGUUCCCGAACCCUAGAACCAGAAUGAAGCGCAAGCGUGAUCUCGAACCCCUCGUGGAAGGGGAGGGCGAGCGAGAGCAGAAGCAUCAAAAGCUGGAGAUGGCCUCUGUUCUGCACCUCCUCCUACCCGCUGUCGAUGAAGGGACGGGAGCUCUCACCUCUGUGGACAAGGGAAAAGGGAUAGUGGUGGAGGAGGAAGAGGGGGAUAAGGAGGCCGAUGAUGACGACAGCGACGACGGUAGCGAUGUGGGUAGUGAAGACGAGAGUGGCGGGGAGGGAGAUGAUGACAGCGAUUUCGUUGAUGAUCCGUUGGUGGAGGUCGAUCCGGAGAACAUCCUUCCUUCAAGUACGCAGCGGCGGGAACCUCCGCCGCCGGGGGUUUAUGUCGACCCUGAUCAGGAUGAGGAUGACAGCGGGGACAGCGAGUAAGAUGAUGCGAGGCGAAAAGGAGGCCGGGUAACUACUGAUCGAAGAUAACAUCUGCAUUCUUCGUCUUCUUAAUAGUUGGGACUGGGUGCAGAGAGUUGCCAUGUUGAAGAAUGAGCUUUAUCGUCUACGAGUCAAUAAUUCCAAGCUACAAUUUGUAAAACUUAUGAGGAGGCAUGUAACUUGUAAUGAGAUGUUUGAACUUUUGCUGUUUUAUUCGGAAUGAUUGCCUUGUAAACGUUUGCAAAACCAAGUAAUAUGCUUCUCUGUGUCUU